rnacentral:rRNA from 1 species
AACGCUGGCGGCGUGCCUAACACAUGCAAGUCGUACGAGAAAGCCGGCUUCGGCUGGUGAGUAAAGUGGCGCACGGGUGAGUAACGCGUGGAUAAUCUGCCCUUAAGUGUGGAAUAACGUACCGAAAGGUGCGCUAAUACCGCAUAAUGCCUGGCAACACAAGUUGUCCGGCCAAAGAAGGCCUCUGUUUACAAGCUUUCGCUUCAGGAUGAGUCCGCGUACCAUUAGCUUGUUGGUGGGGUAAUGGCCUACCAAGGCUGCGAUGGUUAGCUGGUCUGAGAGGAUGAUCAGCCACACUGGAACUGAGACACGGUCCAGACUCCUACGGGAGGCAGCAGUGAGGAAUAUUGCGCAAUGGGGGCAACCCUGACGCAGCAAUGCCGCGUGAAGGAAGAAUGCGCUACGCGUUGUAAACUUCUUUUCCAGGGGGAGAAUAAUCCUGUCGUGACAGGACUUGACGGUACUCUGGGAAUAAGCAUCGGCUAACUCCGUG